GCAUGUCUAAGUAUAAGCAAUUAUACGGCGAAACUGCGAAUGGCUCAUUAUAUAAGUUAUCGUUUAUUUGAUAGUGCCUUACUACAUGGAACCUGUGGUAAUUCUAGAGCUAAUACAUGCUAAAAAUCCCGACUUCGGAAGGGAUGUAUUUAUUAGAUUAAAAACCAAUGCCCUCUGGGCUCUCUGGUGAUUCAUGAUAACUCCUCGAAUCGCACGGCCUUGCGCCGGCGAUGGUUCAUUCAAAUUUCUUCCCUAUCAACUUUCGAUGUUUGGGUAGUGGCCAAACAUGGUGGCAACGGGUAACGGAGGGUUAGGGCUCGACCCCGGAGAAGGAGCCUGAGAAACGGCUACUACAUCCAAGGAAGGCAGCAGGCGCGCAAAUUACCCAAUCCGAUUCGGGGAGGUAGUGACAAUAAAUACUGAUACAGGGCUCUUUUGGGUCUGUAAUUGGAAUGAGUACAAUUUAAAUCCCUUAACAGAACAAUUGAGGGCAAGUCUGGUGCCAGCAGCCGCGGUAAUUCCAGCUCCAAUAGCGUAUAUUAAAGUUGUGUGGUUAAAAACUGUAGUUGAACCUUGGGCCUGGCUGGCCGGUCCGCCUCACCGCGUGCACUGGUCCGGCCGGGUCUUCCCUCUGUGGAACCACAUGCCCUUCACUGGGCGUGGCGGGAAAACAGAACUUUUACUUUGAAAAAAUUAGAGUGCUCCAGGCAGGCCUUUGCUCGAAUACAUUAGCAUGGAAUAAUGAAAUAGGACGUGCGGUUCUAUUUUGUUGGUUUCUAGGACCGCCGUAAUGAUUAAUAGGGACAGUCGGGGGCAUCAGUAUUCAAUAGUCAGAGGUGAAAUUCUUGGAUUUAUUGAAGACUAACUACUGCGAAAGCAUUUGUCAAGGAUGUUUUCAUUAAUCAGGAACGAAAGUUAGGGGAUCGAAGACGAUCAGAUACCGUCGUAGUCUUAACCAUAAACUAUGCCGACUAGGGAUCGGACGACGUUAAUUUUUGACUCGUUCGGCACCUCACGAGAAAUCAAAGUGCUUGGGCUCCAGGGGGAGUAUGGUCGCAAGGCUGAAACUUAAAGAAAUUGACGGAAAGGCACCACCAGGGGUGAGCCUGCGGCUUAAUUUGACUCAACACGGGGAAACUCACCAGGUCCAGACACAAUGAGGAUUGACAGAUUGAGAGCUCUUUCUUGAUUUUGUGGGUGGUGGUGCAUGGCCGUUCUUAGUUGGUGGAGUGAUUUGUCUGCUUAAUUGCGAUAACGAACGAGACCUUAACUUACUAAAUAGCCAGUAUUGCUUUGGCAGUACGCCGGCUUCUUAGAGGGACUAUCGGCUCAAGCCGAUGGAAGUUUGAGGCAAUAACAGGUCUGUGAUGCCCUUACAUGUUCUGGGCCGCACGCGCGCUACACUGACGGAGCCAGCGAGUACUUCCUUGGUCGGAAGACCCGGGUAAUCUUGUGAAACUCCGUCGUGCUGGGGAUAGAGCAUUGCAAUUAUUGCUCUUCAACGAGGAAUCCCUAGUAAGCGCAAGUCAUCAGCUUGCGUUGACUACGUCCCUGCCUUUUGUACACACCGCCCGUCGCUACUACCGAUUGAAUGGCUCAGUGAGGCGUCCGGACUGGCCCAGAGAGGUGGGCAACCACCACUCAGGGCCGGAAAGCUCUCAACAGUCAUUUAGAGGAAGUAAAAGUCGUAACAAGG
rnacentral:rRNA from 2 species